UACGUAGGGUGCAAGCGUUAAUCGGCAUUACUGGGCGUAAAGCGUGCGCAGGCGGUUUUGUAAGGCUGACGUGAAAUCCCCGGGCUCAACCUGGGAAUUGCGUUGGAGACUGCAAGGCUGGAGUCUGGCAGAGGGGGGUAGAAUUCCACGUGUAGCAGUGAAAUGCGUAGAGAUGUGGAGGAACACCGAUGGCGAAGGCAGCCCCCUGGGUCAAGACUGACGCUCAUGCACGAAAGCGUGGGGAGCAAACAGG
rnacentral:rRNA from 1 species